GCCGGCGUGGGGGGGGUCACCAGUGAGACGGUGGUGGGCGUGGCCAGGAGGGGGGUGACGCUGCCGUGCCGCUCCAGGCGGGUGAGUCCGGGGGGUGGAGGUGUGCUGGGGGAGGGGCGAGCCGUCCCUGUUCACCUGCCACAACACGGUGAUCAACGCCGCCGGAGAUCAGGUCACAUACAGGAAGUCACACAGGUACUCGGUCUUGUCCUCCUCCCUGUCCAUCUUCCCCUCUGGACCGUCUGACUCUGGUUUCUAUCACUGCCGGGUCCAGGUCUCCGGUCUGUUCAACGACCAGAUCUCCAGCGUCCUCCUCAUCAUCGUCACCCCUCGCUCUGUGGUCUCUGACGCAUCCGACAGCGAGGAUGACGGGAACCUGAACGCACCACACACACCGAGUUACAGCACAGGAGACGUGACGACGGAGACAGGAAGUGAAGUCACAGCGGGCAACAUCACAGGGCCAGUGGUGGCGCUGGUUCAGUCGUCUGAGCAGGAAAACCGUCCGCUCGUCUUCAUCGGAAACACCGUGAGAGUCUCCUUCAUCGUCUUCAUCCCCGC